AACGACUCUCGGCAACGAAUAUCUCGGCUCUCGCAUCGAUGAAGAACGUAGCGAAAUGCGAUACUUGGUGUGAAUUGCAGGAUCCCGCGAACCACCAAGUCUUUGAACGCAAGUUGCGCCAGGAGCCUUCAGGCCGAGGGCACGUCUGCCUGGGCAUC
rnacentral:rRNA from 1 species